GAUGAACGCUGGCGGCGUGCCUAAUACAUGCAAGUCGAGCGAACAGACGAGGAGCUUGCUCCUCUGACGUUAGCGGCGGACGGGUGAGUAACACGUGGAUAACCUACUUAUAAGACUGGGAUAACUUCGGGAAACCGGAGCUAAUACCGGAUAACAUGUUGAACCGCAUGGUUCAACAGUGAAAGACGGUCUUGCUGGCACUUAUAGAUGGAUCCGCGCCGCAUUAGCUAGUUGGUAAGGUAACGGCUUACCAAGGCAACGAUGCGUAGCCGACCUGAGAGGGUGAUCGGCCACACUGGAACUGAGACACGGUCCAGACUCCUACGGGAGGCAGCAGUAGGGAAUCUUCCGCAAUGGGCGAAAGCCUGACGGAGCAACGCCGCGUGAGUGAAGAAGGUCUUCGGAUCGUAAAACUCUGUUAUUAGGGAAGAACAAAUGUGUAAGUAACUAUGCACGUCUUGACGGUACCUAAUCAGAAAGCCACGGCUAACUACGUG
rnacentral:rRNA from 1 species